UAGCCAACCAAGUAUUAAAGGCGACGCCUGCCCAGUGAAAAAUUAAACGGCCGCGGUAUCCUAACCGUGCAAAGGUAGCAUAAUCAUUUGUCUAUUAAUUGUAGACCUGUAUGAAAGGCAAAAUGAGAGCCCAACUGUCUCUUAUAACAAAUCAAUUAAACUGAUCUCCUAGUACAAAAGCUAGAAUACCAACAUAAGACCAGAAGACCCUGUGAAGCUUUAACUAACCUAUUAAACCCAAUAAUAGCUACUUUAGGUUGGGGCGACCUUGGAAUAAAAAAGAACUUCCAAUCUAUGACUCCUCAUAAAUUAGGCAAACAAGCCAACACUAGACCCAGCAUAGCUGACAAUUGAAACAAGUUACUCCAGGGAUAACAGCGCUAUCUUCUUUAAGAGCCCAUAUCAAAAAGAAGGUUUACGACCUCGAUGUUGGAUCAGGACACCCCAGUAAUGCAACCGUUACUAAAGGUUCGUUUGUUCAACGAUUAAUAGUCCUACGUGAUCUGAGUUCAGACCGGAGCAAUCCAG
rnacentral:rRNA from 1 species